rnacentral:tRNA from 1 species
GGGGCCGUAGUCUAGCCUGGCUAGGAUGCCGGCCUGGGGACAAACCCCGUAGUUGCCAGCGCGCCGGUGAUCCCGGGUUCAAAUCCCGGCGGCCCCACUA